rnacentral:rRNA from 1 species
UACGGGGGGGGCAAGCGUUGUUCGGAUUUACUGGGCGUAAAGGGCGCGUAGGCGGCCACUGCAAGUCAGUUGUGAAAUCUCCGGGCUUAACCCGGAAAGGUCAACUGAUACUGCAGGGCUAGAGUGCAGAAGGGGCAACUGGAAUUCUCGGUGUAGCGGUGAAAUGCGUAGAUAUCGAGAGGAACACCAGUGGCGAAGGCGGCUCACUGGACCGGAACUGACGCUGAGGCGCGAAAGCGUGGGGAGCAAACGGG